UAUGACUAUUGAAUGGCUUAGGCUGACAAAACUGGCAUUAUUGAAAUUUAAUUUCAACAAUCUGGUUUUGAGGAGGAUCAGUUGGUGUAAAGUCUUCAUUACAUUGGCUAUUAGCCUGGGAAAAGUUUGUGGCACUCAAUAAGUACAUGGAUAGUUUGAAUGCUUAACACUACAUGUACAUGUGUAUAAGUUGAUAUCUCAUUAUGUUGUAGAAUAGUUCUAAAUAAUAGGAAUUUUAAUUAAUUAUUUGAAGUAAAUCAAUUAAUUGUAAUUUAGUUUAAUUGUAAUAUGAUUAUUUUCAAAUUUAAUUAACCCAUUCUUGACAUAGACAUUGUUAUGUGAUUGAAUUUUUUUACCAGUUUUAUUGCACCAAGAAUAUGGAUUAGAAUGAAGACUGUAAAGGUUCCUGAGAUACGUGAAGAUAACAGAUACUUUUAUCAAAGACUUUUAAAUCUUUUCUCAGGAAGGCAAGUGUUUCCUCUUGUUAAUGAAAGCAACUCAGUUGGUUAGGGGGCAGACAACUUGUGAGCAUGGUACAUCACUACCUGUAUUGGUAUUCCAUUUUGACAAUGCUGCUAGCUAGAAUAGAACUAACAUCUUGCUGUGGUAUGGUCUGUGGAGAGUUUUACUAGGAUAUCACAGAUCGAUUGAAUAUUCAACAGUGAUCACAGACCAUGCAAAUUUUGAAUCUGACUUGCACUUUUGAAUUUAGAAGAAUCUUUGGAGGAGGGUGAAUGCUGAGACCUUUAAGUUUAAUAAUACAUGAUAUUGCCGACACAGUGUGUCAGUUGUCAAAGAAAUGUCAUAACAACACAGUUGGUCAACAAUGAUUUAAAUCCUGUCACAUUCUACUAGUGGAGAAAUAUCUUAUCAUGUAAUAUUUUAAACUUUUGAAGAAGAUAACCAAGUAUUACCACUUUAUCAUGUCUGCAGAAACACCUGCAUUGUUAGUCUUAAAAGUGACAGUCCAGUUAACUUACUAAAAUCUACUCCCCCUUGCCAAACGAAUAUUACUGACAUGGAAUGACACAAGCCUGACAAUGGUACCUGUAUGAACUCAUUAGAGAAUAGUAUUUGUCUGAAAAGUCAAAGGAUUCUGUUUGUCCCAAACCACUUUAACUGAAAUUGGAUUGACGAGGAUUUUUCUGAGAACUGAAAAAAGGAAGUGAAUAUAAAAGAUAGAAAUUGUUGUUGAAUUCAAACGUUUUAAUAUACAACACUUUAGCCUGUUUUGCUGUUCAUAUAGAUGUGUUUAGCUGUUAAGGUUAAAUAUCAAGUAAAGGUUGUAGUUUCAGUUACCUACAUUAAAGUAUUGGCUGGAAAUAAAUAUUUACUUUUCACCAGAGCUUGUAGCAGUGUAACCUUCAUCAAAAGUUAAGCUGUUGUGUUAAUUAUUAAAGUAUUUUUAGAAAAAGGAAUUUAGUAUGUAUGUUGCCAUGGUAACAUAAUUCAAAUUAUAUUUCAUUGAAAUUAUGGAUUUGUAUUUCAAUAAGGGAUCUACAGUAUAUAAUGUAAUGGUAAAAAAAAUGUUCACUUUCUUCAGUAUUGUCAGUUAUAACUAGCCAGUGAAAAAACAGAUUAUGAGGAAAGGGAUGACUGAAAUGUUUAUUCUUACGAUAACUACUUUUGUUACAGAACAUGACUGUUUUAAAGUUUUUAUGUGAAAUUUUCAGAUUUCUUUCCUGAAUACUUGUACUUUCAAAUAUUUAACUUAUUAGAAAUACUUUUUAAAAUAAGCUCUUGUUUUUAAGUAUUAUUGUAGGAAAAGGGAAUUUAAAACAUAUAUCGCCAUGGUAUCACAAUUUUCUUAGAAAAUGUGGAAAUUUUUUAAUUAGCUGUACUUUCUAGUAUUCUAGAUAAGCAUAAACAAUAAAAAAUCAAUAAUAAUAUAUGUUUCAUUUAUUUCAAAAAAGUAAUUUAUAACCAGCAGGUAAAAGGCAAGUUAUGAAGAAACAAUGACAGAAAUGUCUUAUUCUUAUAGUUAUUAUUCAUGUUACAAACACUGUCAUAAAACUAAACAUUUUAAUUUUUUUUAACAUGGAAUUUUGAGAUAAUAUUUUUGAAUACAUACCACUUUAUAAUAUUCAAGUUAUCUGAAACACUUUUCCAAAUUUAGCUCGUUUUUAAAGUAUUAUUGUAGAAAACAGAAUCAAAUGCAUAUGUUGCCAUGGUAACAUAAUUUAAUAAUGUUUUUAUAGAAAAUGUGAAGGACUUUAGCCAGCUAGAUGUUUGCACUUUAAGUGAAUAUCUAAAUAUUCUUUGUAAAAGAAGAUUCAUUUAUUUAAAAAUAGCCAGUGA